rnacentral:rRNA from 1 species
GGUUGCGAUCAUACCAGCACUAAUGCACCGGAUCCCAUCAGAACUCCGCAGCUAAGCGUGCUUGGGCGAGAGUAGUACUAGGAUGGGUGACCCCCUAGGAAGUCCUCGUGUUGCAACCC